GCGAGUGUGGCAUAAUGGUUUAAGUUUCAGACUAUGAGUCUGAAGACCAGGGUUCAGUUCCCCAAACUUGGG